AAGUCGUAACAAGGUUUCCGUAGGUGAACCUGCGGAAGGAUCAUUAACACGUAUCCACGUAUCAACCAACUGUGAACUUGUUUUCAUACCCUCCCUGCCUUUUACAUGAAUUGAAUUAUAUGAGAUAAUGAAAUGGGAACUUCGGUUCAGUCUCUUAUAAUAACCUGUUGCACUUCGGUGUAUACUAACAAUUGUAGUAUUAUGGUCAGGCAACCCCUUUCUACUAUCAACCUCUCCUUUCAUGAGGACGAUAGUGGGAUCCAACCAACACCUAUUUCACCACCUUUUUGCUAGUUGACUUUUAUAUGUUGUUUCGUUCUGUACUUCAUUGUAUGGACUGAUUCACACGUUUAUUAUUUGAACGUUAAAAUUACAACUCUUAGCAAUGGAUAUCUUGGUUCUC
rnacentral:misc_RNA from 1 species